ACUUGCUUUAGCAAAAAGAGAAUAUUUUGACUCAUGGAACUGGGAAGAAUAGGAAUAUGCCCACUCUUGGGUCAAACUGAAUUCCUAAACUAACAGAAUUCUUGUCGUUUCCCCAUCCCUCCUGUCAGCCUCCUUUUAUUUAUUCCAGGCUCUUUCUUUCCUAAUACAAAGGGAUGCUCUCCAUUGGGCAGAGAGUAAGGCUGUUCGCAGCUUGCAUCAUUAAAGUUUGUGAAUCAUGGGGAAAGAUCAUUUCUCUUUUCCAGUAACUUGCUAUGAAUUUCUGGGAAGGACUCUCCUCAGGACCAGCUCUGGCUACCGUGAUGGCUGGGGCCAAGGCUCAUGUCCGCCCCUGUGACCGUAGGCAGUUCACACUGACCAAAAGCCCCAACAGAACGCUGUGGAGUUGGGGCAGGAGAGGACAGUCCCUAAAGGAUUCAGCAGGGAGAAGAUGGGGAGGGGUCGAGGAGACAUUUCAUUGCCCCCACGUCCCCUUUAGCAUCUCUGAUUUCUUUUUCCUAAGUACUGCAUUUAUUCUCAUCUUCUUUCCCCUGCCUCUCACUUAGUCAUUCUCUAACAUUCUGUUCUUGUAAAAUCUACAGUAUUUUCCACAAAUAGUUCAUCUUAACAAGUUGCGCCUCGUGUAUCUUUGCAGAAGCAUUGUAAGUUUAUAUCUUUACACAUCAGUACCAUCACUUUCUACUUAUUGAGCGAGAGCAUAGAUGUCAGCUGUGCAUUUACCUAUCCUCAGGAAGCUAUAUACUCUAAAAGAAAUACAGACAUACAGUAUGUUUGGUAAGGUUAAUUUUUCUCUGAUUUCUUAAAUCCUAACAAAAUUGUUAUGAACCAUGUUUUACCUUUUUCCAGCACCCCUGCGACUUAAGUAUGAAAUGGACAUUUUUACUAACAGUUAGCUAAGAACUGUAAUUAAUAGAACUGUUUUUCACAUAUCAGAAACACCAAAUGCAUAUACCUACCCAGAAACAUCUAGGGCAGCUCACCUUUGACAGAGAAACCUUUGCAGUGUAUUCUACAUUAUGAUGCUGUUCUGUCUCUUCAUUCCAGCAUUCUACUGAAUCCAGCAACUUGAGUCCUCACUACGUUUGUCAUGUCUUCAGUUCCUUCCUUCAUACAGUGAAAGAGACAGAAAAAUCCCUCUGCUACACUGCAGUCAAACAUAACUCUUGGAAGCCAGCCUACUGGUGCUCUGCGACAGUUUGCUGGGUCUGUGUCAGCCUGAUGGGAGUAAACGAAGUUGUCAUAGAGUCUGAUAGGAAGGGCUGCCAUGUGAGGCUCCCCUGAUGACCGCAUUCACUGGCUGUUGAUCACUCUGCACCUCUCUUCUCAUCUCCCUGGACUUUAUUCUUUGUGAUCCAUUCCAUCAGUUUUAUAUCUUCAAUCCCUUCACUGGAACUGCAUUUGGAGAAGCUGUACAAAUUCUGAUACUCUGGCAGGUGCUUUUGCUGUGAGCUAUAAACUAUCUUUAGUUUGUGAUCCAGGAGUCUCCUGUCUUCUGCCAGCAUGCACCUAACUGUGCAGAUGGUCCAUAGCAGCGCGAUCCUGAGGCUCUGCAGCUCGCACUUCUCCCAGUUCUUGGUUGAGUUCCGAUAAUAUAGAAGCAGUCAAAUUUGUUGUUUUGCUAUAUGCACAGGCCAGCUUAGAGAUCUCUUUCUGCAUUCCUACGACAAGUCCAGGAACCGGCAGGAGGAACGCAGCUGCAACUGCAACAGCAACAGGAUCUCCAAGUUUCAAGUUUUCAUCACAAUCUGACGGCAGAGCUCAGAGACGUCUCUUAUAUCCAGAUGGUCUAUUAGAUCAGGAAGAAUGCGUUCCACCCCACAAACACCUCGAUAGUGUGAAGAAAGGGCUUGAUAUGUUUUGCCAUUUCACAAAAAUACCCAACCAUUUGGAAGUCUAUAUCCAGAAGACCAUUUUACAUUGAUUGCAGAAUUACAGUAAGAGGGUACAUGAGUACAAUCAAUACACACACAGUCAGUGAUUAUAGCAGUGCUAACAGGUAAAUUUAAUUGGGCAUCAGGAGUAAGCGUCUUAGGGGGAAGAGUGGUAUUUCUGUAACAUAAAACAUUCAGUAAUAAAGUUUGGCAUUAUUCCCUUUGACAGUGCUCUCCAGGUAAAUAUAUAUCGGGUAAAUAAGCCAAAUUGGUCAAAUAUUUUCCUUGAUGAGGAGAAGAAAUUCCUCUGACAUGUUCCAGGGGCCCUCUGGAAAAUAUCAGAGUUAAUCAGAGGUAAAAACACUUUUCUAAAUUUGGUCUUGGGAAGCUGUCAAAAGUUUUUAAGGCACUUGCCUAAAUAGAAUUAUAGUUAUUAAAUAACACUUAUUAUUUAACCAGAAUAAUAAGAAAGUUUAAAAGCAAAUGCAGGUUACAUAGUUAACAACACUUAGCUUAGUCUUUUUAAUGUUAAGA